rnacentral:rRNA from 1 species
GACGAACGCUGGCGGCGUGCUUAACACAUGCAAGUCGAACGGAGUGGCGAACGGGUGAGUAUCACGUGGGUGAUCUGCCUUGCACUUCGGGAUAAGCUUGGGCAACUGGGUCUAAUACCGGAUAGUGCAAGAUGAGCUCGCGGCCUAUCAGCUUGUUGGUGGGGUAAUGGCCUACCAAGGCGUCGACGGGUAGCCGACCUGGGAGGGUGUACGGCCAAAUUGGGCCUGAGGAACGGCCCAGACUCCUACGGGAGGCAGCAGUGGGGAAUAUUGCGCAAUGGGCGGAAGCAUGAUGGAGGGACGCCGGGUGGGAGAUGAAGGCCUUCGGGUUGGAAAGGCCUUUCGACAGAGACGCGGUACCUGUAUAAGAAGCACCGGCUAACUACGUGCCAGCAGCCGCGGUAAUUC